rnacentral:rRNA from 1 species
UGCGUAGGUCCCGAGCGUUGUCCGGAUUUAUUGGGCGUAAAGCGAGCGCAGGUGGUUUAUUAAGUCUGGUGUAAAAGGCAGUGGCUCAACCAUUGUAUGCAUUGGAAACUGGUAGACUUGAGUGCAGGAGAGGAGAGUGGAAUUCCAUGUGUAGCGGUGAAAUGCGUAGAUAUAUGGAGGAACACCGGUUGCGAAGGCGGCUCUCUGGACUGUAACUGACACUGAGGCACGAAAGCGUGGGGAGCAAACAGG